UACGUAGGUGGCAAGCGUUGUCCGGAUUACUGGGCGUAAAGAGCGCGCAGGCGGUCGAUCAAGUCGCGUGUGAAAGCCCCCGGCUCAACUGGGGAGGGUCACGCGAUACUGAUCGACUCGAAGGCAGGAGAGGGUAGUGGAAUUCCCGGUGUAGUGGUGAAAUGCGCAGAUAUCGGGAGGAACACCAGCGGCGAAGGCGGCUCUCAUGGAACGCAACUGGACGCUGAGACGCGAAAGCGUGGGGAAGCAAACAGGG
rnacentral:rRNA from 1 species